CCAAAUUUGGUCGGGAAAGAGUUGACAAAAUAAGAAUUCUUCAUUAAGUAAGGUUCAUUUAAUACACCAACUAGACUGUAAUACAUUACAAUUACAUAAAUUAUUUUGAUAUUAACUUCGCACUUUCCCCAAAUACGUGUGCGACUUAAAACAAUCGACUGUCUAACCGACACACCUGACGAAGAAUGAUAAAAUUUGAAUAUCAUCAUUUAAAAACAGAAACAAAAAUCAUGAAUAAUAUAAUUACCCCAGACAAAAAUAAUAACAAUACAAAAGAAUCACGCCAAACGCUCAGCUAUAAGUCUUGUAUACCAAAACGAAAAAGUAACCAUUUUGCGCCAGGAAUUAGAGACUUUUAAGCACUAAUUGUAAGGGUUUUCGCAGCAGUCUCUUCAACAUGGCGGAAUACAAGUCACGGAAGAAGAGGUGGAUAGCGACACCGAACGUGCUCUUCAUUGCAUUAUGUGUCUUCAUCUGUAUUCCAAGCACGAAAGGAGUUUGCGAAAUUGAUUUUGAUGAUACGAGUGUCGACCGCUGGAAAUUUCUGAUUGGCGCGAGUCCAAAACAACUUCUCUACGACUUCUGCAAGUACAACGGAACAAGUAAAGGCGAACAAUGUCAUAGUUUUGGAAUAAAGCAGACUGUAGAUUUUGAAAAAGUGUGUGGUUGCCACAUUCAGCAAAAUAAAACCAUCGAAGGCUCGUUUAGUUUCGACCUCGACUGCACAAGCAAUUUAAGCUACUGCCCUGAGAAACUAACAGUCACCUACAGGCAGGGCCCCAAUGCGACGGCUCCACACCAGGUGCCAAGCCGCCGCGGCAUAGGGAAGAAUAACAAUGAAUCCCCCGGGAAUCCACCGGGACCGGGAACUGGG